UGCUCCAGUACAUUCAUUGUAGUUUAAUCCUUCCUGGAACACUGUUGUCCUUUAAUACCUUCUUUAUAAUCAUUCCUGAUUUUGGAAUUGUUCUGUAAUUGGAAGUCAGCCUCAUUGGGCAGGUGCAUGUCUUAAGCUCUUCACAAUGGCCUACCAGCUUAAUUAAACUAUAGAAACACGAGAACAAUUAGGUGGGAGUAUUUGCAAAAUGAAUGCAUGUUAAUAAUCUGUAUAGUUACAGAGACCUCACUCAGACCUAACUGCUUGGAUGUGCUGAUUUUAUCAAUGGAAAGAAAAAUCAAGAAAAAUUUCCAUAUUUCAUGACUCCAAUCUAUUCUUAGCUGUGACCCUAAGGCUUCUGUGGUGUCAGAGAAUUUGUUUGUAACCACAGCUUCUGGAUUGGAGAGAGAAAUGCCACUUCUGA
rnacentral:lncRNA from 1 species